GCAUAUGUGGUGCAACGGUUCAGCUCGCACCCCCGGAUAGGGUGAAAUGUGGGUUCGAAUCCCACUUGACGCA